rnacentral:lncRNA from 1 species
GCGUGAAAUUAAUUUUUACCUCUUUUUUCUCGAAUAAAGUGAGAAAACAAUUUAAGAGUUUGUUACAAACAAUGAAUUCUACCUUAUUUUAUUAAACAUUAAGAAAUCGUGGGAGCUGUCUUGUUUGAUAGUGUUUACAGCAAAUAGGUGAUUAUAUUUAUAUGAUUACAUAAAUGUGUCUUGUGUACUAUUAUGUGUCUGUUUGCCUUUUUCUUUUUUAACCAUUGCGUUGUCAGUUUAUGUUCUAUCUAUAAGUUUCAAUGUCCCGUCCCUUUAGUAUCUUUCGCCCCACUUUUAUAUGAAGUAGAUGUGUUAUAUGGUUAUUAUUGUAAAUAAUCUGUUUACAAAACGUUGACUUUCUAAAUACUAGUUAUUUUCUUACUCUGGAAUUGAUGAGUAAUCUGCAUUUAGCAAACCUCGGGUCUUCAAAGCUUCAAAUUCGUAUUUUACUUGGCAUAUGUUUACUUUUUUUUAUUUGAGUGUCUAUGUUAAUAUCAAAAUCAGAAAACACGAAGACUUGGUGUUAUUUAAAUAAUUGUUGAUAGUAAAACAAAAUGUUGUUGUUUUUACACAGUUGAUGAUUGAUCCCAUCUUUAGUGUACAUGUCCUGUAUAUAUUAAUAUUAUAAUAAUUUUUUUAUAAAGUUUCAUAACUUAAAACAAUGCAUAAAGAUGAUCUGUUGAUAUGGAUAUACAUUGUUUAUCAGAGUUCUUUAUCUAAAAAGAUAGAGCAAUAUCUGAGUAUAAACAUUAUAUCUUGACACAACAAGAAACAAUAUGUUAUAAACAUUU